rnacentral:rRNA from 1 species
UCUUGUUCACCUUGCAAAUUCCUGAUUUUGUGAGAUCUUGGCAGCUAAGCAGGGUUGGGCCUAUUUAGUACUUGGAUGGGAGACUGCUGGGAAUACCAGGUGACACUAGAC